AAAACAUUAAAUUUAUCAUCGCUGUCGCUGUGACUUUAUUGGCAAUAGUAAAAACUCAAAAACAAAAGCUUCAAGAUUCAGAAGAAUACUAGAGAUUAUCAGUCUACGCAUACACUCGUAAAUAAGAAGACAACUACUACCGCAUAAAGCCUGAAUUGGUCUCAAGAACCUUUUUAUCGUUUCGUUGCAGUGUAGGGGGCCACUUAAAGGAGUGGCAUUGAGUAGCAGAAAACAUCCAGGAACCAGGAAAAAAACAUAGAACGAAAGGAUGAAGAGUGAGCUUCACAACAGAGAGUAGUACAAUGCCUUCUUUGGCCCGUAUAAUAAUCACUCAAAAUGACAUUUGCAUGAGUGCAUCUUCAUCAUGCCACGUCAAAACUAUGUAAACAUUCCCUAAACAAAUACAAAUGGAGACGACGACUACUCCUCCAAAUAACCCAAAGGACAAUACAAAAACGACCAAAAUCGACCUAUGACGAUGAAAACGCAACCAAGUUGAAACACAAUCUUUGUCCUUUUAUUGAGUUAUCCUGCCCCAAAAAGGACCAAAGGAGCAGCACACUGAAUACUUUUUAUCCAAUUCGUCUGGCAUUGUGUUUCGUUUCUAUUAAAACCGAUUGAUGUAUGACGAUAAAA